rnacentral:rRNA from 1 species
CAAGGGUGCGACUCUUAGGAGACCGCCUGGUUAACGGGGAGGAAGUGGGAUGACGUCAAGUCAGCAUGGCCUUUAUGUCCCAGGGCCACACACGUGCUACAAUGGACGGUACAGAGGGACGCAAAGACCGCAAGGUGGAGCAAAUCCUCAAAACCGUUCUCAGUUCGGAUUGUAGGCUGCAAUUCGCCUACAUGAAGCUGGAAUUGCUAGUAAUCGCAGAUCAGCUACGCUGCGGUGAAUACGUUCUCGGGCCUU